rnacentral:rRNA from 1 species
AUACGGAGGGGGCUAGCGUUGUUCGGAAUUACUGGGCGUAAAGCGCACGUAGGCGGUUUAUCAAGUUAGGCGUGAAAGCCCUGGGCUCAACCCAGGAACUGCGUUUAAUACUGAUAAGCUAGAGACCGGGAGAGGGUGGCGGAAUUCCCAGUGUAGAGGUGAAAUUCGUAGAUAUUGGGAAGAACACCGGUUACGAAGGCGGCCACCUGGACCGGAACUGACGCUGAGGUGCGAAAGCGUGGGGAGCAAACAGGAUUAGAAACCCCGGUAGUCC